CAGACUCAAUAUCCUCCCAUUUUACCUCCAUUCUCUAUGCUAUUUCAAGAUGGAAUGGAUCCUCCUAAUGUGGAGGAAAGGACUCAAAAGUUCUUAAACUGGGGACAUCGUAAUCAGGAAUCUCUGGGUAGACUGUUUGCAACAUUCUUUAUUAAGUUGCAAUCUGUAGAAUUCCUUUGGAGGCAAGGGCUCU